rnacentral:rRNA from 1 species
UACGUAGGGUGCGAGCGUUAAUCGGAAUUACUGGGCGUAAAGCGUGCGCAGGCGGUUUUGUAAGCCAGAUGUGAAAUCCCCGGGCUUAACCUGGGAAUGGCAUUUGGGACUGCAAGGCUGGAGUGCGGCAGAGGAGACUGGAAUUCCUGGUGUAGCAGUGAAAUGCGUAGAUAUCAGGAAGAACACCCGUGGCGAAGGCGGCUCUCUGGGCAUGUCCUGACGCUGAGGAGCGAAAGUGUGGGGAGCGAACAGG